UACGGAGGGUGCAAGCGUUAAUCGGAAUUACUGGGCGUAAAGCGCACGCAGGUGGCUGAGUCAGUCGAUUGUGAAAGCCCUGGGCUUAACCUGGGAAUUGCAGUCGAUACUACUCAGCUAGAGUAUGGGAGAGGGUAGUGGAAUUCCCGGUGUAGCGGUGAAAUGCGUAGAUAUCAGGAGGAACACCAAUGGCGAAGGCAGCUCGCUGGGACGGUACUGACGCUGAGGCGCGAAAGCGUGGGGAGCAAACAGG
rnacentral:rRNA from 1 species